GCGGGGGUAGCCAAGCUAGGACAACGGCGCCGGACUUAAGAUCCGGUCUCGCAGGAGUCCGUGGGUUCAAAAGCCCCGCGCACCCCGCGCG
rnacentral:tRNA from 1 species